rnacentral:lncRNA from 1 species
ACCCCCUUUAGCAGAACCUACAGUGGAGUAUUGAUAAUUGCCUAGCUUGUAUUAGUUGUGAUGAUUUGGGUAUUAAUCUUAUUUUCCUGACUAGCUUCUAGGCUCUUUGAAAGUAAAUCUUGGCAUUCUUUGCAAGUUCUAUCUUGGCAUUUUUCAUUGACCCUGGCAUAGUAUCUUGUACACAAUAGUGUUCAUAAAAAUACUUGCUUUAUGAGUAAGUAAAUCAUUUGUAAGCAUAAACAACUGAAAGCCUCCUCUUCUGCCCUGACACCACUCCACCCCCCUGCCCCCCCCACCGGCCCCAUUGUUGAAGUGAUUAUUCAGAUCCAUAGAUAGCUGUUGAUGCAUAAGGGAAUAAAUACAGUGGGCUGCCAGGGAAGCAGAGAGGGUCAACCAGGCCUAGGCAGAAAUUUGCAGUCCAGAAAGAUACAAGGGCAGAGCUGAGGGAGAGGCAAUUUAGAUAGGAGGAAUGGCUGGCGUAAAUGUUCAGAGAAAGGGAUGUGUAUGCAAUGUAUAAACUGGCCAGUUUAACUUGAACAGAAUUCCUAUAGA